ACUUGAAUAGUUUAAAAAAAAUGUAAGCUUGUGGCGCUUGAGAUGUAAUUUUACUUUAAGUA
rnacentral:tRNA from 1 species